GGCUGAGCCUAUGCAAGUCCCGAUGCGUGGACACGAGAAAAUGAACUAAUCUUUUUUUGAGAGGACUCGUAACUCUCGAAUCCUUGUAAGGAUUCGUUCAAAAUGAACGGAUCGUUCACGAACGACACAUCACUACCGCCCAUUGCAGUUCUUCCUCGAGAAAACAAACUCGACCGAAACACGGCGUGAAAUUAUUGUACAGUGAGACCCUUUUUUAAGUAAUUUUGAGAAGUGUACGUGAGGUCACGUUCACACGCACAACCUGUCCUCAUUCUGCAGGACAUGUUGCUCUUCUACGCGACGGUCGUCUCCGCCUUGUUGGGUGGUUCAUCCUCUGUUAGACCUGAAGUGAAGUGCAAUGGCGGCAGUUUGACUUUCCCAAUUCACUUAACACCACCUCUUUUUAAUGGCCAGCUGUACUUCACUCCGAGUACAGGGGGACGCAGUCGGUUGCUGAUGGAUAAAGGAGAGGUGAGCAACUUUAUCUGCAUAUCACACACAGUGUAACGACGUGGUAUCGUUAUGACAGCCGAGUUCUGUAAUUUGACGUAGAUCAGAAUGAACAGAAUCUUCUCGCUGUCCCGAGUAAAUGUGUUUUUGUUGUCCACCGACUCAGGCAAAGCACCCACGCAUAAAAGUUCAGAGCGGCUCGCUUAGAUUAAUACAGUUGACAGAGAUGGAUGAAGGAAUUUUUUCCAUCUCACGUGACAAUGGUGAACGACAAAAUGCAGUGACGCUGACAAUUAUAGCAUGUGUCGACGAGGUCAUGCGGGAUUACGGGGGCCGUUACUCAACAAAGGUUCCGAGAGAGGCAGAGUUCCUGGAGUUCACUCCCCUUCACGGUGUGGACCAGCUGAAGGUUUUGUGGAAUCGCUCUGACCCUCAAGCCAUCAACGGGGGCAGAGGGCAGAUUAACCGUAAUUUCUACGAGAUUGGGAAUCUCAAUCAGGCAGACAUGGGCUACUACAUCUUCAGAGGAAAAGACAACAAUUUGCUCAUUAGGAUCAAGCUAAUAGUCAAAGGUGAUGUUAGGAAAUCGAAUCUGCGUCAAGCUUUUAGAGUGCAGUGUAUAUGAAAUGUUGCGUUUUAUCACACACAGAGUUGCGGAGAUACUACAAUACAAAGGUUCACGACGAGGUCUUGAUUGAAAAUCCUAUGGCCAAUCGCCUGUGGACGGCGGCUUUUACACCUGUGGGGGAAAAGGAAAACCAAACAUUGAUGAGCGGUGGCCGUCUGGUCAGAGAAGAGGAGUUGGACUCGUACUCAGUAGGUUUUGCAGGGAGGCUGCGGUCCGUUGGCGGGGGCGUACAGAUUUACCCCGUGCAAAUCACAGACUCGGGCACCUUCGCCUUCAGAGACCGACGAGGCCACCUGUUCCAGACCGCAGAGCUGGUGGUCGACCCGGGUGAGCAACGGCACAUUGUUUUCCUUAAAUGCAGGAAUGAACUGAUGAUUCAUAGGAACGUAACCCCCGCCCCAUUCUUCUGCUCUUACAGACCCCUUUUCAACUCUUUCUUUGGUUGGACUAAUUGUUGGGAUUCUCUUUGCUCUGAUUUUCUGCUGUUGCUGUGUGAGGAAGUGCUGUUGUAAAAAGAGGGCCGAGUUUGCUCCUCAGGCUGCAGCCCCACCUGCUGUGUGUCUCCACGACACAAAUCAACCCGGGUGCCCGAGUUACUAUGCUGCACCGGCUAGAGAUCCCAGUACUCCUUACUCAAUGAGUUCCCUAGUUUCCAGGGAACAUACAACUAUCUCUCUCGAGCCGUUGGUUGCUCCUCCAGGAGGGGAGGGAGUCAAUGCAGCUCCUUCACUCGCCACUAAUUUUCUCUCCUCGGACACCGAGCCAACGUUUCAGCUGAAAGGGCCGCAGUAUGCACCCCCCCUCAGUUCAAGCUCAGCUUUCUCGGAUGUUUAUACUUCAGAUAAACUCAACUUUCUGUAAAAAACACUCCAAAAACUCAGGCGACGCACUGUUGAAGCCAUUAUUGUACUUUGUGAGGAGGGGCCCUCGAUAGGUCUGUGUGACAAAACGCACAUUUAACAAUAAAUUCCUGCAAAGUCGUGGCGAUCGGUGCACAGGAUGAGGACCGUGUUGAAAAACUAGACAUAAUUCUCACUAUGUUGACACAGGACCAGUUGGUUCACGCGUGUGAUGUUCUCUUUCUUGCUAUAUAAAUCCAAAUGCAACGUGAUCAAACCGGUAUACUCUUGAUAACUAAGCAGUCAAGAGUUAUACAAAGACGUCUAACAAUUUAAGAAAAAUGUUAACUUAACUGUAGCUCCAUACUAUAGGUUUUGUUGAGUGGACGGAAAUGAUCGUAAUAUCCGUAGUAAAAUGAAAGGAUGAAUUUGUAUUUUAAACUCAGGUUAUAUAAGCAAUGUAUAGGUACACCUUCUCCUGCUGCAAGUAUAUCAAGGGGAAUGUUGGAGUCAUGACUGAAAGUCUGUGUAGCAGAUUUUAUACAGUGAGGACAUAAACCUGAUCAACACCAAUCAAUCACCAGUUAAAUCCCCUGUUACCAGCUGUACUUAACGUUUUUGGUUGUUUCUAACCCAUACGUGCCAAUUCAGCCAAAUAUAUCAACGUGUCUGUGUGGCCUUUGUUAUAUAAUUAUAACUAACGAUAUUUUAGGUUUUUACUUUUACUACUAUGUCUUAGAAAACUGUUACCCUCUGUAUUUUUUGAGAAUAUGCCUUGAUUCAUUAACCAUAACAGAUGUGGUCUACAUAUUUUGUAUAAAUAUGUGUCUGUAUUAUGUGUAAAAUAUGUAAGUAUACUUUGACUUGUGUUUUAAAUGAGGUAUUUUGAAAGCUAAAUAAACUGCCUUACUGGACUUAAUAUAAUCCCCAUCAGAUGUAUGCAAUGAAAUUGACCCUAACCCACAAUUAUAGAAUCUGUGCCCCACGACAACUACAAUUUUAAGAAUAGCAACAUUUAAAAGGGCUGUUAUGUAUGUACACCACGAUAUAAUCAUAAAACAAUUUCUAUUUAGAGAAAAAAUGAAAAUAAUGCAAAUUCUCUCACAGUUACAUUAUUGUUGGAUUUAACCUUCAGAUGCAAUUCAUCAAUCUUGAUGUUGCUGUUAAAAGGCUAAAUAACACAAUGGCAACAAUGUGUUUCUUUCCCCUUUGUUCCAGACCAAAUUAACCAAACUAGAGGAGAUAAGGCACCUUGGGUCCUGGGUCCGGUCCGACGUAACCCGGUGACGCUGCGCGCUUGAGGGGUUUGUUCGACUCGUCCAGAAUCAGGAAGGGCGGUUCCGUUGAAAACCUCCCCGCUAAACGCCGCGCACACACACUGGAAUUCAGCUUUCCCCACUCGGGUCACAUUCAGUUCCACUCGGCCUGACCCCUUAGGCUCUCGAACGUAAUGCAAUCUUGAUUUUGGGGCUCAAACGCAAGGCAUAAAUACACGAGCGGUACCCAUCUCCGAUGACACGUGAACGCACCACGCACGGACACGCCCUUCUCCGUUUUCUGCAUUCUGAAUACGGAGCUUCGUGCGGCAUUGUGUUGUUACCGUAUUAAUAACGUUAUAGUGCGCUGUACUACUUCUGUCUGAAUAGUGUGAACACACUAAAGAGUUUGCCGUCACCUACAUGUUGAACUGUGAACUGGUCCCAGUUUACACUGGACUCACGUUUACAAUCACGGGAAAUGAUGAUAGUCUUGUUGUUGCUGGGUGCCCUUGGUUGUAUGGGAGUCUCUCGUGUCACUGGCGUGGUGAAGAAGUAUGGGGAGAGUUAUUACUUUAUGCUGCAUGGAAACCCUCACGUCUUAGAGUUCCACCCGGAGCACAACUCAAAUGUGACAAUAUUGUGGAAAAAGGAUCAACGCGUAAUCACAUUGGAUAGGAAGUUUGUAAUGACGGGUAGUAUCUUUGCGAUACAUAAGUUAACUCAGAAUGACAGUGGCCACUACAUAAGUAGAGACAAAGAUCUGAAAGAAAUUUCCACCUACACACUUGAAGUAAAAGCAACCACGAGGACCUAUAGUCCGGAACCUGGUGAUCGCCUCAGCUUCACCUUCAAUCUGAAACCAGACUCCUGCAACAUUUACUUCUUCCCAAGCAGAACUCGCCGGCUGAGAAUGUUGGAGAAUAAAAUAAUUCGUGGCGGCGUGCUUCAGGGGGAUUCCGAUGAACUUUAUUGCAAAGGGUUUGAUUUUUUACAUCCAUGUGGGAUUUCAAAUAAAGUCCUCCAGAUUUCUUGCGACGGACGCUAUGAGAUCCGAGAUCAGAAUGACAACACGGCCUUAAUGGUGUCACUGGAUAUGAAUCAAAUCCUAAGGACCGUAAUACGGACACCUGGUUACAACUUCAACUUCACUUUUAAUCUGGAACCAAACUCCUGUAACAUUUACUUCCGGCCAGAAGGCGACUCAGUGAUUAACUUAGUCUAUGGAGGCGUGCUGCAGGAGGGUUUGGAUGAAAUCGGUUGCAGCGGGUUUGAGCUGUUAAAGCCAUGUGGGAUUUUAAACAAGGUCGUCCAGAUGUCGUGCAACGGAAGGUAUGAGAUCAGAGAUCAGAAUGACAACACAGGCUUUGUGGUAACACUGGAAAUGGAGCCACAACCGUAUUCGCUACCUGGUCUCAGUAUUGGGGUUGGCGUCCUCUCCAUGUUCUUGUGCUGUUGCUGCAAGAUCUGCUGCUGUGGGAAGAAAAAGUCCCAAGAGGAGCCGACUGAAACUGCUGCUGCCGAACCAGAGGUCCAAUACCAAAGGCGUUACAAUGAGCCCUGCGGACCGAGCUCAGACCAACUCAUUGAGCCCUUUGGGACAAACUGCUUCAAUCAGCCUUCUUCUGCUCCGAGUGAUUCGCUGGUACACAACCAUCCGUUUCAGGAUUCGCCGCCCUCUUAUUCUGAGGUUUUACCUGAUGCUCAGCAGCCAGCUGCUCCAUCUCUCCCAGUGCACCAUGACCCUGAACCCAAGUUUGAAUUUAAGGGCGUGACCUUUCCCUGUGCUCCCCCACUCGAGUCCGACUCAAGCCGCUGUGACGUUUAUACCUCAGACAAACUCAACUUCCUAUGAGGGCCUUAUUUCCAAAGAUACAUCGGAAUGCGUGAACACUUCUUUGUUAACGUACUGAUUACUGGGACAUGGAAGGAUUAGCUUGAUAUUUUAGCAAAUACGCAUAUUCUUUUAAUGGAUUAAGCCAGUAAGGGAACCUUGCGUGCCCAAGGGCACCCUGGCAAUAUGUGCACGAGAGGUCUUUAUUUAAAGGUUGAAGUGCCCUUUUAUCUUCCUGCCAUAUGACCUCUUAUACAGCCAUUUGCAUUUGCGAAGCCUGUUAUUUUUGUUAUUUGUGAAAUGAAUCUUUACCCGUCCGAUUCUACCUCUUGAUUGGCUCGGACAUGUUGCCUUAUUUGCAGAAUUUGUUAGCUCUGGAUCAGUGGAAUGAAAAAUAACUUUUGAAUGAAAAUCUGAGAAAGAAUUCACAAUAAUGUUCUACCUCGUGAGUCUCACUUGAAUUGCUCACAGGAGCCUACGGAGUGAAUAGCUGCCUCAUUCCUGCUGUUUUACUGCCAUGAUUUACUGCAGACCGGCGUUACUGUGACGACACAAAGGUAAACCAGUCCUAUGUUUGCAAAGUUGUCUGUAUGUGAAAGUCGUCGUUGCUCUAGAGGUACAUUUGCUUGACGAUCUCUUGCGUGGAAUUUCACUUGCAGCUGUUAAAAACUUCUGUUAAAAACUUGUAAAAGUUGAUACUUCCAUUGUAGUUUAGUGUGGAUUCUUCAAAUUAACCUCUAUUGGCUGUUAACGAAUAUUGAUACAUAGUUAGUGUAUUUAAUUUGCUCAGGCCAGUUACAUAAAUAUAUCUAGAUGUGUAGAAGUCAUAUUAUAUGGAUUGUUUGAAAAACACAAAAGAAACAAGACCCAGUUUCGGUUUCCUGUUACAUAUUUUCAUAUGUAACUGCAUAUAUGUCAAAAUGUUACCAAACGUGCAUUACAUUAAGUCUAAUAUAUGUGGGACUUUUACAAACAUAUAUUUUUUGUGUACGUUGUUAAACAUGCAUGAAUUUAUUGAUUGUAUAAUUGGAUUUGGUGUUUAAAUCUUUAAUGCAUUAAAUCUAAUAACACUGAAACUAUUUGGUUUGGAAUGUUUCUUUUUUUU
ensembl:lncRNA